rnacentral:rRNA from 1 species
GAGUUUGAUCCUGGCUCAGGACGAACGCUGGCGGCGUGCCUAAUACAUGCAAGUCGAACGAGGUCCAUCCGGUGGCAACACCGGAGAAGACCUAGUGGCGAACGGGUGAGUACCACGUGAGCAACCUGUCCCGAAGACGGGGAUAACACCGGGAAACCGGUGCUAAUACCGGAUAUCCCCACCAGACCGCAUGGUCCGGUGAGGAAAGGCCUGUGAAAGCAGGCGCUUCGGGAGGGGCUCGCGGCCUAUCAGCUAGUUGGUGGGGUAACGGCCCACCAAGGCUACGACGGGUAGCUGGUCUGAGAGGACGAUCAGCCACACUGGGACUGAGACACGGCCCAGACUCCUACGGGAGGCAGCAGUAGGGAAUCUUGCGCAAUGGGCGAAAGCCUGACGCAGCAACGCCGCGUGGGGGACGAAGGCUUUCUGAGUUGUAAACCCCUUUCAGCAGGGACGAUUGUGACGGUACCUGCAGAAGAAGCACCGGCCAACUACGUGCCAGCAGCCGCGGUGAUACGUAGGGUGCAAGCGUUGUCCAGAUUAAUUGGGCGUAAAGAGCUCGUAGGCGGUUUGAUAAGUCGGAUGUGAAAUCCCCAGGCUCAACCU